rnacentral:rRNA from 1 species
AUUGAACGCUGGCGGCAUGCUUUACACAUGCAAGUCGAACGGCAGCGCGGGCUUCGGCCUGGCGGCGAGUGGCGAACGGGUGAGUAAUGCAUCGGAACGUGCCCAGUAGUGGGGGAUAGCCCGGCGACAGCCGGAUUAAUACCGCAUACGACCUGAGGGUGAAAGCGGGGGACCGAAAGACCUCGCGCUAUUGGAGCGGCCGAUGUCGGAUUAGCUAGUUGGUGGGGUAAAGGCUUACCAAGGCGACGAUCCGUAGCUGGUCUGAGAGGACGACCAGCCACACUGGGACUGAGACACGGCCCAGACUCCUACGGGAGGCAGCAGUGGGGAAUUUUGGACAAUGGGGGCAACCCUGAUCCAGCCAUGCCGCGUGCGGGAAGAAGGCCUUCGGGUUGUAAACCGCUUUUGUUCGGAAAGAAAUCCUCUGGGCUAAUACCCCGGGGGGAUGACGGUACCGGAAGAAUAAGCACCGGCUAACUACGUG